rnacentral:rRNA from 1 species
AAGGUUAAGCCUCACGGUUCAUUAGUACCGGUUAGCUCAACGCAUCGCUGCGCUUACACACCCGGCCUAUCAACGUCGUCGUCUUCAACGUUCCUUCAGGACCCUUAAAGGGUCAGGGAGAACUCAUCUCGGGGCAAGUUUCGUGCUUAGAUGCUUUCAGCACUUAUCUCUUCCGCAUUUAGCUACCGGGCAGUGCCAUUGGCAUGACAACCCGAACACCAGUGAUGCGUCCACUCCGGUCCUCUCGUACUAGGAGCAGCCCCCCUCAGUUCUCCAGCGCCCACGGCAGAUAGGGACCGAACUGUCUCACGACGUUCUAAACCCAGCUCGCGUACCACUUUAAAUGGCGAACAGCCAUACCCUUGGGACCUACUUCAGCCCCAGGAUGUGAUGAGCCGACAUCGAGGUGCCAAACACCGCCGUCGAUAUGAACUCUUGGGCGGUAUCAGCCUGUUAUCCCCGGAGUACCUUUUAUCCGUUGAGCGAUGGCCCUUCCAUUCAGAACCACCGGAUCACUAUGACCUGCUUUCGCACCUGCUCGCGCCGUCACGCUCGCAGUCAAGCUGGCUUAUGCCAUUGCACUAACCUCCUGAUGUCCGACCAGGAUUAGCCAACCUUCGUGCUCCUCCGUUACUCUUUAGGAGGAGACCGCCCCAGUCAAACUACCCACCAGACACUGUCCGCAACCCGGAUCACGGGUCCACGUUAGAACAUCAAACAUUAAAGGGUGGUAUUUCAAGGUCGGCUCCAUGCAGACUGGCGUCCACACUUCAAAGCCUCCCACCUAUCCUACACAUCAAGGCUCAAUGUUCAGUGUCAAGCUAUAGUAAAGGUUCACGGGGUCUUUCCGUCUUGCCGCGGGUACACUGCAUCUUCACAGCGAGUUCAAUUUCACUGAGUCUCGGGUGGAGACAGCCUGGCCAUCAUUACGCCAUUCGUGCAGGUCGGAACUUACCCGACAAGGAAUUUCGCUACCUUAGGACCGUUAUAGUUACGGCCGCCGUUUACCGGGGCUUCGAUCAAGAGCUUCGCUUGCGCUGACCCCAUCAAUUAACCUUCCGGCACCGGGCAGGCGUCACACCGUAUACGUCCACUUUCGUGUUUGCACAGUGCUGUGUUUUUAAUAAACAGUUGCAGCCAGCUGGUAUCUUCGACUGAUUUCAGCUCCAUCCGCAAGGGACUUCACCUACAUAUCAGCGUGCCUUCUCCCGAAGUUACGGCACCAUUUUGCCUAGUUCCUUCACCCGAGUUCUCUCAAGCGCCUUGGUAUUCUCUACCUGACCACCUGUGUCGGUUUGGGGUACGAUUUGAUGUUACCUGAUGCUUAGAGGCUUUUCCUGGAAGCAGGGCAUUUGUUGCUUCAGCACCGUAGUGCCUCGUCAUCACGCCUCAGCCUUGAUUUUCCGGAUUUGCCUGGAAAACCAGCCUACACGCUUAAACCGGGACAACCGUCGCCCGGCCAACAUAGCCUUCUCCGUCCCCCCUUCGCAGUAACACCAAGUACAGGAAUAUUAACCUGUUUCCCAUCGACUACGCCUUUCGGCCUCGCCUUAGGGGUCGACUCACCCUGCCCCGAUUAACGUUGGACAGGAACCCUUGGUCUUCCGGCGAGCGGGCUUUUCACCCGCUUUAUCGUUACUUAUGUCAGCAUUCGCACUUCUGAUACCUCCAGCAUGCCUCACAGCACACCUUCACAGGCUUACAGAACGCUCCCCUACCCAACAACACAUAGUGUCGCUGCCGCAGCUUCGGUGCAUGGUUUAGCCCCGUUACAUCUUCCGCGCAGGCCGACUCGACCAGUGAGCUAUUACGCUUUCUUUAAAUGAUGGCUGCUUCUAAGCCAACAUCCUGGCUGUCUGGGCCUUCCCACAUCGUUUCCCACUUAACCAUGACUUUGGGACCUUAGCUGGCGGUCUGGGUUGUUUCCCUCUUCACGACGGACGUUAGCACCCGCCGUGUGUCUCCCGUGAUAACAUUCUCCGGUAUUCGCAGUUUGCAUCGGGUUGGUAAGUCGGGAUGACCCCCUUGCCGAAACAGUGCUCUACCCCCGGAGAUGAAUUCACGAGGCGCUACCUAAAUAGCUUUCGGGGAGAACCAGCUAUCUCCCGGUUUGAUUGGCCUUUCACCCCCAGCCACAAGUCAUCCGCUAAUUUUUCAACAUUAGUCGGUUCGGUCCUCCAGUUAGUGUUACCCAACCUUCAACCUGCCCAUGGCUAGAUCACCGGGUUUCGGGUCUAUACCCUGCAACUUAACGCCCAGUUAAGACUCGGUUUCCCUUCGGCUCCCCUAUUCGGUUAACCUUGCUACAGAAUAUAAGUCGCUGACCCAUUAUACAAAAGGUACGCAGUCACACGCCUAAGCGUGCUCCCACUGCUUGUACGUACACGGUUUCAGGUUCUUUUUCACUCCCCUCGCCGGGGUUCUUUUCGCCUUUCCCUCACGGUACUGGUUCACUAUCGGUCAGUCAGGAGUAUUUAGCCUUGGAGGAUGGUCCCCCCAUAUUCAGACAGGAUACCACGUGUCCCGCCCUACUCAUCGAGCUCACAGCAUGUGCAUUUUUGUGUACGGGGCUGUCACCCUGUAUCGCGCGCCUUUCCAGACGCUUCCACUAACACACACACUGAUUCAGGCUCUGGGCUGCUCCCCGUUCGCUCGCCGCUACUGGGGGAAUCUCGGUUGAUUUCUUUUCCUCGGGGUACUUAGAUGUUUCAGUUCCCCCGGUUCGCCUCAUUAACCUAUGGAUUCAGUUAAUGAUAGUGUGUCGAAACACACUGGGUUUCCCCAUUCGGAAAUCGCCGGUUAUAACGGUUCAUAUCACCUUACCGACGCUUAUCGCAGAUUAGCACGUCCUUCAUCGCCUCUGACUGCCAGGGCAUCCACCGUGUACGCUUAGUCGCUUAA